rnacentral:lncRNA from 1 species
ACAAACACCGUUAAAAGGCUUGGAAAAUUUUAUUCUUUAGUGAACUUUAAUAGAUUUCUGUUUGUUUUUACACAAUAAAUAUUUCAGUCAUAGCAUUUAACAGACUGGAAUUCAAACCCACUUCAGUACCUAAACUCCCAGCGACAGGACGACUCUGCUGAAGCGAUCGGGAGCCCUGGGAACGGAGAAGCGCCGAGAACCGCUUGUGGCUAGGUCUGCUUGUUUGAUCGGUAUUUAAGGAAAGCAGAUGAGCUGGUCCCAGCACAGCACCCAGGCUCCUGCGGUGCUGCGCGGGAGAAACGCAGCAGCUCUUCUGACAUAUAGCGGUGGGAAAAGAGCCCAGCCGCAGCUGCACAAUGUCUACGACCUAGCAAUGCGGUGCCCGAGCCCUGCCAGGCCCCUGCUAACGGUGGCAUCUCAAAAAGGCUCAGCGGGGAAGGGACAGAACCAAACCAGAACACCAACACAGCGACCAAGUGCUUCUUAGCCCGUGUUGUUUUACGGUCCCCCAGACCGUGGGAAGCAGGACAGCAGACAGAGCCUGCCAGCAGCCUGCGCUGCAGCAGUGACAGCCGGCCAAGCCUGUCCCUACCUAACGGGGGGGGUCCAUGACAGAAGACCAGGCUGUAAAGUGCAAGAGGCCCAGUUCACAACUCACUCCCCGUUCGCCCCAUGGAGCCCCUCCACAAGCUUGCUUUGCGAGGGUUACAACUGGAAAAGAGACACUGACACAGCACUCACUCAGAAGGAGACCUGGACUUAGAAUAUUCUUAUAUGAAUAACCCUCUCCUUCCAUCCAGACAGGACGCUGGCAACUAGGAACAACAUUCAUCACCGCUAAAACCAGAACACGUUUCAGUUAAAAGCUCAAGAAACUGUGCCAAGCAAGUCUCCUCGCACAGGGGAGGAAAGAUUUUGAUUAAGGAGGGCUCAAAUCUUGACCCACUGUUUCCGAACGGCCACUGCGGAUGCUGUUUGCUGAGGCAAAUGGCACCGUUUGGGGUGGUUUUGCAGUGAGCUUCAUUGAAGUCUGCAGUCCCCUGAACACCCCCCUUGUAGGCCAGCCCAGAGAUGUUCCCAGCCAGACAGCGCUUUAAAUACUUGCUCCCUCCAGGUACCAGGAGCGCCUGCCCAACCAGGACCAGGGGAAGUGCCUCAGCAAGCAGUACCCUGUGAGGUUUUUUUUUGUUUUUUAAGCCCAAAAGUAACUAUACCAAACCAACAGCAACCAGAGGUCCUGGCAGAGUAAACAAAGGCAAGUUCACAUCUUUGAAUGAGACCAUCACUGAUUACAAAAACAAAACGCACAACACACACUAAAGGAUAUAUCGGUGAGCUGCUUGCUGGAACGUAACCAGCACAGCCUCUUCCUGGGGAUAUCCUAGGCUUGAGGCUGGCACAGCUCCUCUGCUCCUGCAGUGCUUUUCUCUUCCCUUCCCUGCUGCCUAGGGCAAAGAGCACCAGGUGAUGCUGAGCGCACCUGGUUGGGCCAAAGGAUCAUCUAUAGACUAACAGAGACCUUUUCCAUAAGCAGAAGGUUAGUGGAGCGUCCGUCUUCGCCAUGUCCCAGGCCAGGACUGAGCAGUCUCCGCAUCGCCCCAGUCAUUGCUCCCGAUGAAGUGCUGUGAGGUAGAACAGGUGGGUAAGGCAAACAAGAUACUCAAAGCUGCAACUCCAUGCCAGCGUUGCAGAUCUGCGUUAGAGAAGCAAAGCGCAAGCAAGCUUUAGGCUCUGUCCAAGCUCCAUCAGUCCUACUGACCCACAGCACCUAAGCAAGACGGACACUGCACUAAAAAGAUUUUGGGAUAGGGGUGCGUAAGGAAGGGGAUCCUUCAGCACACAACAAGAAUUCCCACUUCCCAGGUAACUAAUGCAAGCUAAGCAAAAAAAAGAGACAACUGGAAACAAGACUGUUUCAGAUAAGUGACCUAAAUGCAAGUUUGAGAUGGAUACAAAACCCCUAUGCACAGUUUUGCCAUAAGCUAAGACACCAGAGCUUCAGCUAACUGCUUGUAUUUGCGCGCAAGGCAACUAUUCUCUUCGAUAAAAGAGUAUAAAAAACAAAUAUCCAAGUUAGUUUCAAGAGCAACAAUUCUCUAGAGGAGACUUUCCAGCUCUAUUACAAGCAGGUACAAACGUUCUCUGAGGAUAAGAAUUGAGGGGCCUUGCUAGAACUGACCUGUUGUUCAGAGGCACAGAUCAAACCAGCUCUCAGACUAGAAACUACAGGUACUCAGUGCUCCUGAAAAGUAACAUCAGGCUAGCUCUAUUUAAGGAGCUUAAAUAUAUGUUUCAAGAGCCUUAGAAGCUCAUGCCCGUGGCUCUGGUAAAGCUGCCUUUACUAGAUUACUGACCUUUAAGAGCCAGGAGAGACUGUUACCAAGAUCCUGUAGUGACAGAGCACAGAAAAGAGGAGUUAAUUGCAGUGCAGAUGCAUUGUGGAAAAGGAACCAACUGAAAAAACCCCAAUGCUUAAGUGCUUGAUUUUCCUAUGCUUCUAAGCCCAGAGGUCAACUGCAGUAUUUGUACUCAUAGGAUGCUGGUAGUGCGACUGCCACUUUAACCCAAACUGGUCCCGAAACCUACGCUUCACCUUCAUCUCCGGCCCCUUUUAUUAGUUCCUGAGCUGGGUUCCUGGAUCAGCUCACAGGCAGGAGCUGCAGAUAUGAACCACAAAAAUGAGUUAAAAAUUGUUGGAUUUACUCAGCCUGGAAGUGUGGCUGCCUCUCCACCUUGGCUACAGGAUUCCUGCAGUGAUACUGGUUAACAUGUCCCAGGCUUCCAAGAAAAACCUGCUUCAUCCACAGUGCUGUAAGAAACAGGAGUGGCUGCCAGCUCCAGCCACCUCUUUUCACUGUACUAGGACAUGCCUGGAACCCAAGGAGAAGAGAUGGACAACCUGGUGGCAGGACUCAGUGGCACAGGAGCCAUACAACAUGCACUGGCACCCUUAAGCCAAGGUCUGGGUCCUGAAGGACUGCAGCCCUCAACACCAUUCCCCCAAACCAGUAUUUUCCUGGCAAUAUUCUGGAUAGAGAUAAAAUGUGCAGCGCUGAAACAGAAUUAGGAAAGCAUAAAACAGCUUCACUAACAGCUCAGCAAGUCCUUCAGUAAUUAAGGAAGCAUGAUUAAAACUAUGCCUGGAAGAAGAGACAACACAGACCAGCUGUCACAUACAGGACAGGAAAAGUAAAAGGGUGAGUGCAUAUAUUGCCAGAUCUGAACAUGAUCCUGUCCGUUCCCAAGAGAGCACCAUCAAGCCAAAAGGACUGCCCAUUAACAGAAAGAGAGGAGACCUGAAAACAGAGCCUAACCAGCAAGGCAAGUAACUACUGCCAUAAGACAGUUACCCUCAGAUAGUAUUAGUGAGAAAGGAAUAAAUUUAUUCUUAAGACUUAAAACA